rnacentral:rRNA from 1 species
UACGGGGGGGGCAAGCGUUGUUCGGAAUUACUGGGCGUAAAGGGCUCGUAGGCGGCCAACUAAGUCAGACGUGAAAUCCCCAGGCUCAACCUGGGAACUGCGUCUGAUACUGGAUGGCUUGAAUCCGGGAGAGGGAUGCAGAAUUCCAGGUGUAGCGGUGAAAUGCGUAGAUAUCUGGAGGAAUACCGGUGGCGAAGGCGGCAUCCUGGACCGGCAUUGACGCUGAGGAGCGAAAGCUAGGGGAGUAAACGGG